UACAGAGGUCUCAAGCGUUGUUCGGAUUCAUUGGGCGUAAAGGGUGUGUAGGUGGCGCCGUAAGUCGGGGUGUGAAAUUUCGGAGCUUAACUCCGAAACUGCAUUCGAUACUGCGGGUGCUUGAGGACUGGAGAGGAGACUGGAAUUCAUGGUGUAGCAGUGAAAUGCGUAGAGAUCAUGAGGAAGACCAGUGGCGAAGGCGGGUCUCUGGACAGUUCCUGACACUGAGACACGGAAGGCCAGGGGAGCAAACGGG
rnacentral:rRNA from 1 species